rnacentral:tRNA from 1 species
AUUUAUAUAGUUUAAAAUAAAACAAUACAUUUUCAUUGUAUAAUUAAAUUAUCUACUAUUUUAUAAAUA